rnacentral:lncRNA from 1 species
UGUGCGUGUGCGCGUGCGUGCGUGUGCGUUUGUGCGAGGACGACUGCGUUCCGCCACGUCUCCGGAGGAUUUGUCAGCCUGAGUUGCAGAGCUGUGGUUCCAGCCCGCCUGGGAUGGCGGUCAGAGUACGGCUUGAAUUUCUCCCCAGCGCCUCCCUCCCAGAAGGAGAGCCACUUCAGGUUUGGUAGUACAAAGAGACGGCUUCAAUCAGAAACAUGUGUGGCGAGCAGUGGGCGGGGAGCAGAGCCAGGGAGCGCCGAGCAGCGGAGCUGGGCAUCCUCUCUCGAAACAUCUCACCCCCGCUUGGCGCCCGCAGCACAGCGGCACUUCAUGCUGCGCCAAGACGACGAACAACAAAGACCAUCUCGAGAACACUCUCAUUGUUUCCACAGGAAGAAAAAUAAUCGCUCUUCUAACUGUUUUCGAUUUUUAAAUUAAGUUUCCAAUUGCUUUAUUUCUCUGCUUUGGACAUAUUGUCGGGAAUCGGUUUCGAAGCGCCUGCGGAGGAUGCUUGCGAUCCUCUUUCUGCUUGAAUGAUGCACCUUCCACCGCACGUUUUGUUUUUUAGUGUUUUUCUUUCUUUUUCAAACUUUCUCACCCAUCUCUUUUCCAUCUCUUUCGUCCUCUUUCAACACCUGUGCUCAUGGCAGAAUGGGCUCCGUCACCCUGCCGAGCAGCAACUUUGCCUUCCGCAUAUUAUGACCGCUAGUGUGAUACCGAAGGACAGCUAAUUUAAGUAUACUGUAGCACUAGUUUUACCAAGAAGUGAUUCUUGGCCGAGGAAAAGGACUCUCGUGAUAAUAUGUGCCUGUGGUAACACAUUCCUGCUGGUCUCUAGUAUUCCAGCUCCAGAGUACAUUUGGACGUCGAAAGUUUGAGUUCCCUGGAAAAUGACAUGUUCGCCUGUUACCAUGACAUCAGCACCGGGAAAACAAUGUUACUGGAGCAAAAAUAUUUUUCAGUUCUCCUAUAAUGUCAUGUUUAUUGCUGGUUACUUUUCGGAGGAAAUUCAAACCAGCCACCGUUUUCCAUAACCCAUAACGCUAUGCUGGAAUAUCCUGCUUUUGGAGUAAAGCAGAAAAUUAAUUUAUUCAGCAUGUCUUUAGGCUAAGCAUAGUUCAUUUGUAUAGUUCAAAUGUUUAGCACAAAAAGAGAAUUUGUCCAUUGUGAAGUUGAUUCCUUGACAGCUCAGAAGAAAACUGUUGAUGCCUAUUGCCCCCUUGUGGUGCUCAGUGUCAUUCAUGAAUUUAUUCAUGAAGUUCACGAAAGUCCUCUCUCCAUACUGUGAUCUCUUUACUAUUUCUCUCUGACUUUCUUCUUAAAAUGCUAGGAGGUAUAUAAAUCUGAAAAGUAAAGCUCUUGUGCUAUGUAAGGAUGUGUAAAUUAAAGAGUGAGAUAAAUAAAAGGACAAUCCUGAAGACA